AGCGGUGAAAAACCAGCUCUUGGAAGUGGUGAUCAUGAUUAUUUGGCUUAAAGUGAUGCGUAGCAGGACAGCGUAAGUACCCCUGUGGAAAAUGCUAGGUCUUAAGCUUAGCUCGUGCAGGGGAUACUGCGCGUCUUGGGACCGGGAUAGGUGUAAUGUACGCGACGGUAGGGGUGAAAUCCGAUAAUCCAUCGCGGACAACCGGUGGCGAAGGCGUUACACUGGAACGGGUCCGACUGUGAGGCACGAAAGCUAGGGUCGCGAGCCGGAUUAGAUACCCGGGUAGUCCUAUGCUGUAAACGAUGCUCAUUAAGUGUUAGGUAACGCAAGACGUUAUCUAGUGCCGAAGCGAAAGCGUUAAAUGAGCCGCCUGGGAAGUACGUUCGCAAGAAUGAAACUUAAAGGAAUUGGCGGGGCCUACUACAAGAAGUGGAGCCUGCGGUUUAAUUGGACUCAACUCCGGGAAACUCACCUGGGCCGUAACGUGGAUGAUUGUCCUGCUGAAGACACUGCUUGAUGCGUUACUGGAGGUGCAUGGCCAUCGUCAGUUCGUGCCGUGAGGUGUCCUGUUAAGUCAGGCAACGAACGAGAUCCCUACCGCUAAUUGCCAGCGAGACCUACUAGGUCGUCGGGGACAUUAGCGGGACUGCUCGCGCAAAAGUGAGAGGAAGGAAGGGCCAACGGUAGGUCAGUAUGCCCCGAUAUGCCCAGGGCUACACGCGGGCUACAAUGGCUGGUACAAAGGGUUCCAACACCGAAAGGUGACGGCAAUCUCCAAAACCAGUCUCAGUUGGGAUUGUGGGCUGCAACUCGCCCACAUGAACUUGGAAUUUCUAGUAAGUGCGCGUCAACACCGCGCGCUGAAUACGUCCCUGGGCC
rnacentral:rRNA from 1 species